rnacentral:rRNA from 1 species
AACGAACGCUGGCGGCAUGCCUAACACAUGCAAGUCGAACGAAGGCUUCGGCCUUAGUGGCGCACGGGUGCGUAACGCGUGGGAAUCUGCCCCUCGGUUCGGAAUAACAGUUAGAAAUGACUGCUAAUACCGGAUGAUGACUUCGGUCCAAAGAUUUAUCGCCCGAGGAUGAGCCCGCGUAAGAUUAGCUUGUUGGUGGGGUAACGGCCUACCAAGGCGACGAUCUUUAGCUGGUCUGAGAGGAUGUUCAGCCACACUGGGACUGAGACACGGCCCGUACUCCUACGGGAGGCAGCAGUGGGGAAUAUUGGACAAUGGGCGAAAGCCUGAUCCAGCAAUGCCGCGUGAGUGAUGAAGGCCUUAGGGUUGUAAAGCUCUUUUACCAGGGAUGAUAAUGACAGUACCUGGAGAAUAAGCUCCGGCUAACUCCGUGCCAGCCGCCGCCGUAA